rnacentral:rRNA from 1 species
AUACGGAGGGUGCAAGCGUUAUCCGGAUUUAUUGGGUUUAAAGGGUGCGCAGGCGGACCUGUCAGUCAGUGGUGAAAUCCCGGGGCUCAACCCCGGAACUGCCAUUGAUACUACAGGUCUUGAAUACGGUUGAAGUAGGCGGAAUGUAGCAUGUAGCGGUGAAAUGCAUAGAUAUGCUACAGAACACCGACCGCGAAGGCAGCUUACUAAGCCGAUAUUGACGCUCAGGCACGAAAGCGUGGGUAGCGAACAGGAUUAGAUACCCUAGUAGUCC